UGCACGGGUCCUUCCUCUUUUCCCUCUGCCAUGGGACCUGGAUGUCAGGUUGUGGAAGACGGAUGGAGCAGAACUGGAGAGCCUCAGCUUUGCUGCAGUGACAUACAGAUGGCUAGAAAAGUAUUGAACACACAUUAGGAAACCACCGCACGUUUGUUGAACAGAAUGUUCCUUCGUUCUUCUUGCCCGAGGGAGUCCCUUCCAGGUUCUGUCCUCUGGAAGCUCUACUCCAAAGCACAGAGCGAGUCCUAAUCAGGAUGAAGAAGAUUUGAGGGCCCUGUCUAUUCUUUUCACAAGGAUUAGGAAAGCUGAGUUUAGAUUUCCCUCUGCCAUUGUGUGGGAACCUAGGUGGAGAGUUUUGUUGUGGAGAAUUCUCUGAUAACCUUUCCCUUGUGUUCUGAAGAUGGCGGUGGAUUUCACCGUGGACAGGAAGGAGCUCUCUCUUUUCAUCUGUUGGGGGAGGGGGUUGGAAAUUUGGUUAAGAAGCCUUAGUGCUGGCCCUGAGGCUCAGAACCAUUCAGAUGCUUGAAGAGCCCACCUUCAGGUGGAGGCCGGAAAGAAGUGGCUACUGUGUCUGGAUAUGGUUUGGCUAUUAAGACUGUGGGUAAAGAGCCAGUGAAUCUUUUCAGUCAGUCUCUCCUUCUGGGACUUCCAGAAUCUCCAUCUCAUUGUGAUGGAAAAGAAACAAAGUGUGGACUGCUCCAAAGAGGGGAGACAGUAUCAAGAUUGAUAGCCCUCAUGAGAGAUCCUGGGCUCUGCACCCUGCUGGAAGCAACCGUGUCUCUCCUCCCUUGUUCCAAUGAACGGACUGGACACAUAUAAACAAACUGAUGCAGGGGAAGCUGUAGGCUCUAAACGGAGGCUCCAUCCGUGGAAUUCACUCCAUUCCCCUCCACAUGGUGUCUAGAGGGGAUUGAGAAAAUCUUCUCUCAACAUGGGCCUUAUUCAUUGGUGAAAAUUUCCCUUUAAAAACACUUUAUAGGCAUUCAUUGAAAGGUUAUAGGUUCAAGGUUUUGUGAGGAAAACUGUGGAAGAAAUGGAGCUAAGUGAGACAUGAUCUGCUUCUCAAUGACUCACUAUCUGCUGGGGGAGACAGAGCUCUCCAGAUGCAGUGAUGGCAAUAGGCUGAUUGUUGUCGGUGCUGUAAUAUACAUGGAACCAUUCACUGAAAGAGCAGCGAGGAAGAGAUUUGUGUGGACUGAGGGAGUAAAGAAAGCUCAUCGGAGAAGGAAGGCAAUCUAAUGAAGGCUGUUCAUGGCGAUCAAGCCAAAAUCUUCAGCCACUACACUUGAGUCAAGACUUCAGCACCAGCUUGAUCCAAGAGGCAUUGGAGGAGGAUUUCACAUGCCAUGUUGGAGAAAAGGUCCUAGUAAUUGACUGUGUUCAGGCUCUUUAGAUACGGGACUUGGUUCAGCAAUAUUAGCCCUUGAGAUUUUUCUCAUCCCCUCCUGUAUAUCCUCUUGGUCUUUAUGAUUCUUGGGGUCCCUAGCAGAUGGGGGCUCUGAUCUAGGGACUGUCAAAACUAUUCAACUUAAAAGAGCUCAAGCAAAAAAUAUUGAUUUACUAAAAAAUAU
ensembl:lncRNA